AUUGAACGCUGGCGGCAGGCCUAACACAUGCAAGUCGGGCGAGCGGCGGACGGGUGAGUAAUGUAUGGGGAUCUGCCUGAUGGAGGGGGAUAACUACUGGAAACGGUAGCUAAUACCGCGUACCAUAGGAUGAGCCCCAGUGGGAUUAGGUAGUUGGUGAGGUAAAGGCUCACCAAGCCAACGAUCUCUAUCUGGUCUGCGAGGAUGACGGGCCACACGGGGACUGGGACACGGACCAGAUGCCAACGGGAGGCAGAAGUGGGAAUUAUUGCACAAUGGGAGCAAGCCUGAUGCAGACAGGCCGGGUGUAGGAAGAAGGCCGUCGGGUUGUAAAGUACUUUAAGUCGGGAGGCGGUACCGACAGAAGAAGCAACGGCUAACUCCGUGCCAGCAGCCGCGGUAAUAG
rnacentral:rRNA from 1 species